rnacentral:rRNA from 1 species
CCUGUUGGUGAUUGGGCGGCAGGUGUGUGGUUAUGGGUGCGCAGUUCCCCGGCGUCUGCAUGUUGGUGGGCCGGUCGGUGGUUCGGUUGGUGGGGUGGGCGGUUGCUCACUUGCCGUCCGGUCUGCUUGCUGGCUUGCUCAUUCACUUGCGGCGGUGUUUGGAGGCGCUGCGUGGUCGUGGCCAUGAGCAAGCAGUGUCGCGUCAAGCCGACGGGGCGGUGGUGUCACCUUGAAGCCAUGUCUGUGGUGUAGUAGUCGCAGGUGUGGGCGGGUGUUGGGCAGUGCUCUGCACGUGCUGUGGAGCCUGUCGGCUCGUUCGCAUGCCUCCGGAUGCCCUUGACCGGGUGUCUGCGGGCGGAUGGCACGUUUACUUUGAACAAAUUUGAGUGCUCAAGCCAGGCCGAUGUUGCUUGUAGAGUUUUGCAUGGAAUAAUGGAAUAGGACUUCGGUUCUAUUUCGUUGGUUUUCGGAUCCGAAGUAAUGAUCAAAAGAGACAGGCGGGGGCGUUUGUAUGGCUGCGCUAGAGGUGAAAUUCAUGGACCGUAGCCAGACAAGCUAAAGCGAAAGCAUUCGUCAAGCAUGUUUUCAUUGGCCAUGAGCGAAAGUCAGAGGCUCGAAGACGAUCAGAUACCGUCCUAGUUCUGACCAUAAACGAUGCCAACUGACGAUCCGUGGUGGUAGUGAUGUUGCCUUCCCCGCGGGCAGUCGCCGGGAAACCGUUAAGUGUUUGGGUUCCGGGGGAAGUAUGGUUGCAAAGCUGAAACUUAAAGGAAUUGACGGAAGGGCACCACCAGGAGUGGAGCCUGCGGCUUAAUUUGACUCAACACGGGAAAACUCACCCGGGCCGGACACUGUGAGGAUUGACAGAUUGAGAGCUCUUUCUUGAUUUGGUGGUUGGUGGUGCAUGGCCGUUCUUAGUUGGUGGAGCGAUUUGUCUGGUUAAUUCCGAUAACGAACGAGACUCCAGCCUGCUAAUUAGUGCAUUCGUCCACUGCGCCUGCGUGGGUGGCGCUGGAUGAUACCGCCUCUCACGGGUGCGCAGCUUGCGCUCCUCCCUCCUCUUGCGUUUCUGCGUGAGAAUUGGGGGGUGGAGGUGCGGGUUGACGCUCGUGGUUGGUUAGUCUGGCGUUGGCCUGCGGGCGCGGCGCGAAUGCUUACUUCUUAGAGGGACAAGCGGGAGAAGCCGCACGAGAUAGAGCAAUAACAGGUCUGUGAUGCCCUUAGAUGUCCGGGGCCGCACGCGCGCUACAAUGACGGUGUCAACGAGUGAGACCUUCUGGCCCGAGAGGGUUGGGCAAACUGGUCAAUCACCGUCGUGACAGGGAUCGGGGCUUGGAAUUGUUCCCCGUGAACGAGGAAUUCCUAGUAAGUGCAAGUCAUAAGCUUGCGCUGAUUACGUCCCUGCCCUUUGUACACACCGCCCGUCGCUACUACCGAUUGAAUGGUUUAGUAAGAUCCUUGGAUCGGCGUCAUUGUGGCGAUUGCCGGAAGGUCAUUGCCCUGCAGUCGCUGAGAAGACGACCAAACUUGAUCAUUUAGAGGAAGUAAAAGUCGUAACAAGGUUUCCGUAGGUGAACCUGCGGAAG